rnacentral:rRNA from 1 species
UACGGAGGGUGCAAGCAUUGAUCGGAAUUACUGGGCGUAAAGGGCGCGUAGGCGGUACGAGAAGUCAGAUGUGAAAUUCCGGGGCUCAACCCCGGAGCUGCAUUUGAAACUUUCGAACUAGAGGGAACUUAGGGAAAACGGAAUUCCACGUGUAGCGGUGAAAUGCGUAGAUAUGUGGAAGAACACCAGUGGUGAAGACGGUUUUCCAGGGUUUACCUGACGCUGAGGCGCGAAAGCUAGGGGAGCAAACAGG